rnacentral:tRNA from 1 species
GGCGGGGUGGCAGAGUGGACAAUUGCAGCGGGCUGUAAACUCGCCGCCUUCGGGCUACGGAGGUUCGAAUCCUCCCCCCGCCACCA